UACGGGGGGGGCAAGCGUUGUUCGGAAUUACUGGGCGUAAAGGGCUCGUAGGCGGCCAACUAAGUCGGAUGUGAAAUCCCCAGGCUUAACCGGGGAACUGCGUCUGAUACUGGAUGGCUUGAGUUUGGGAGAGGGAUGCGGAAUUCUAGGUGUAGCGGUGAAAUGCGUAGAUAUCUGGAGGAACACCGGUGGCGAAGGCGGCAUCCUGGACCAACACUGACGCUGAUGAGCGAAAGCCAGGGGAGCAAACGGG
rnacentral:rRNA from 1 species